rnacentral:rRNA from 1 species
GACGAACGCUGGCGGCGUGCCUAAUACAUGCAAGUAGAACGCUGAAGAGAGGAGCUUGCUCUUCUUGGAUGAGUUGCGAACGGGUGAGUAACGCGUAGGUAACCUGCCUUGUAGCGGGGGAUAACUAUUGGAAACGAUAGCUAAUACCGCAUAACAAUGGAUGACACAUGUCAUUUAUUUGAAAGGGGCAAUUGCUCCACUACAAGAUGGACUUGCGUUGUAUUAGCUAGUAGGUGAGGUAAUGGCUCACCUAGGCGACGAUACAUAGCCGACCUGAGAGGGUGAUCGGCCACACUGGGACUGAGACACGGCCCAGACUCCUACGGGAGGCAGCAGUAGGGAAACUUCGGCAAUGGGGGCAACCCUGACCGAGCAACGCCGCGUGAGUGAAGGAGGGUUUCGGAUCGUAAAGCUCUGUUGUAAGUCAAGAACGAGUGUGGGAGUGGAAAGUUCACACUGUGACGGUAGCUUACCAGAAAGGGACGGCUAACUACGUG